rnacentral:misc_RNA from 1 species
AGUUAAGAUGUCUGCGCCCAUGGAAGGAGUCGCACCUGUCCGGGUUAAACUUCUAUUUAAUAAUCUUCCUUUAGAAAGUUCUUGGGUUUUAGUGAAAACCGAAAAAUACCCAAGAGUGAAAGAAUUCUUAGAUUACAUAAAACGAAAAUUUAUUCCAAAGACUGAUGGAUCAUUGACAAUUCACAUUAAUGGCUGUAAAGUCCCAGAAUGGGAGAAAUCCUGUAUAUUUCGUGAAGAUGACGUUGUGCAAUUGUACCUGAAUGAGGUGGCCUAUAGUUCUAAUCGUGCUUUCUGUGACAGUCAGACUGGUUCUAAUACCAGCAACAGACAGCACAGUUGGUAAAGCACCUGACUAUAGAUUUAGAGGCCCAAGUUCAUUUCCCAGGCUGGUCCAUCAUUUCUUCAUUCUGUUACAUUGCUGUGACCAACCCUGGAACUAAUAGGUCAAUUUCUGCCUGGAAAAGAUCAAACCUUUGGUGGUUGUCGAGGGUGAAGAUCAUUUAACGAUGCCGAGUACAGAAUGAGUUAGUAGAUCCAAAAGUGUGUGAGAAUAAUGAUGCUGAAGAAAGAAUUGUACCCAAAAAAAAGAAGAAGAAAAACAAAGAGGAACCGACACCAAAGUUAAGUCUGGAGAAAGAACAUGAAGAAAUGGACACAUGGAGAUCAGCGGAAGAUGAUAAUUUGGAGAUAAAGAAAAGAAAAUUGUCAAAAGAAAAACAAGAUGUUGUGCCCAGUGAAAAAGAUGGAUCUGCCAAAAAGGCAGAAGAAGAGCAGGAAAGUGUGACCCGCAAAAGGAAAAGGACCAGAAAGCGUAAAAAUCGUAAAGAAGAGAUUGUUACUCCUGUGAGUGUUAGUCACAAACCGGUAAGUGUGCGGCCUCUCAGGCAAUAUGCAGACACAUCCAACAAUUUGCACAUCAAGUUCUCUUCAGAUAACGAGGAGGAAGAAAGAAACUCUGUGACAGACUCCAAAAGGAUACAACAGGACUUCACAGACAGACAGACUCACAGAACCAGCACUCCCGUGUACCAGGCUGAUCAGAACCAGUCUGCAGGGGCUGGUGAUUUUACAUAUAAUGGACAGAGUUCUUUUUUGUUGGAGAAACCAAAUUUGACACAGUCAGUCUUAGCGAAUGGAGUGACAGUGUUCUCAAGACCAAGAAGUCGACAGAUAAAGAGCAAUAAUUUUAGAGAACUGAGCAAAGAUGAGCAACUGUCCACCAGGCUCAGCAACAGGUCCUUCGUUUUACAGAACACAAGCCAAAGUAAUGGAGUAGAUGAUCAAAUUUUUACGUCAAUGGACAUGGCUGAGAGUAAUCUAUCAGGGAUACCCAACAUUGCCAUCCCAGUACGCAGAGACUACCAGAAAUUUCCAUUGCUGCAGGGAGACCCCAAUCCUGGAGACAAGAUAGCAUUCAAGAUUCUAGAAAUGUCUGACGAUUACACCCCAGAAGUUGGAGACUACAAGGAGGCAGAAAUCAUUGGGUUUAACAGUUCAUCCCAGAUGGUGGAACUGAAAAUUAUACCAGGGUUCAUUAAAGAGCGCAAGUUGGGGAAGUUUGAUGUGGAUUUUGGUGAGGAUGAGGGGGAGGUUCACGGAUCUUCCUCAGAAGUUCAGAAUCACCCUUUGACCUCCCUGAUGGAAGUGAGGCUCAUCACAGACUGAGGAAAUCUCCAGCCAUUCUACUCACAGACUUAACAUAGAUUCUUGUGACUUUGUAAUGAGUGUACGUAAUGUUUCAUUUAGUAAAUGUUUCCAU